UCAAUGCCCUUUUGCAACUCUACC
rnacentral:siRNA from 1 species